UAUCGGAUAAAUUCUAGCUGUCUUUAUUUAAACGCUACCCGCGUCUCUAUUUUUCCUGUCUCGCUAACUCUUUUUUCUCCUUUGCCUUGAACCCGAAAGUUUUUGGUGCAAGUCUGAUGGGAACAACACCAACAAGCAAUAUAUCCAGGGGAAUUGAAUGCGAUGGAAUGGUUCUGAACCAUUUCCAGAAAUCAACAGGAGGGUUGCAGCAUGAAUGGUGAAAGAGAUAAAAAGAAGGAAGGAGAGAGAGAGAGAGAGAGAGAGAGAGAGAGAGAGAGAGCGAGAGAGAGAGAUUUCAUCUUUGUAAUUCUUCAUUCUAUUCAUAUCCUGCCAAAGUUUUUUUUAUUACACAUAGCAACUAGUUCCAGACAUUCCUGCUUGACCAACACGGGGACCUUCCUAUUCACGCUAUACACGAGAGCUAAGGAAGACAUGAAACGCUGUGUAUGAGUAAUGCUGGUAGUGAAGACGGUCACGUGAGUCCGUGACUGUGCAGGAAUAAUCAAAUAGGCAUCUGACAGCUGUCCAGGAGGGGGGAUUUUGUUUCAGGGCCUCAUUUUGUCAAAAUCGCAAAAUCGGUCCUGAAAUCGCGAUUUUGCGCGAUUUCA
rnacentral:lncRNA from 1 species